rnacentral:rRNA from 1 species
AAUCAGUGCUGAAAAUCGUCUCUCAUCCGCCAAAACAUCUUCGGCGUUGUAAGGUUAAGCCUCACGGUUCAUUAGUACCGGUUAGCUCAACGCAUCGCUGCGCUUACACACCCGGCCUAUCAACGUCGUCGUCUUCAACGUUCCUUCAGGAGACCUAAAGUCUCAGGGAGAACUCAUCUCGGGGCAAGUUUCGUGCUUAGAUGCUUUCAGCACUUAUCUCUUCCGCAUUUAGCUACCGGGCAGUGCCAUUGGCAUGACAACCCGAACACCAGUGAUGCGUCCACUCCGGUCCUCUCGUACUAGGAGCAGCCCCCCUCAGUUCUCCAGCGCCCACGGCAGAUAGGGACCGAACUGUCUCACGACGUUCUAAACCCAGCUCGCGUACCACUUUAAAUGGCGAACAGCCAUACCCUUGGGACCUACUUCAGCCCCAGGAUGUGAUGAGCCGACAUCGAGGUGCCAAACACCGCCGUCGAUAUGAACUCUUGGGCGGUAUCAGCCUGUUAUCCCCGGAGUACCUUUUAUCCGUUGAGCGAUGGCCCUUCCAUUCAGAACCACCGGAUCACUAUGACCUGCUUUCGCACCUGCUCGCGCCGUCACGCUCGCAGUCAAGCUGGCUUAUGCCAUUGCACUAACCUCCUGAUGUCCGACCAGGAUUAGCCAACCUUCGUGCUCCUCCGUUACUCUUUAGGAGGAGACCGCCCCAGUCAAACUNNNNNNNNNNNNNNNNNNNNCCCGGGUAACGGGUCCACGUUAGAACAUCAAACAUUAAAGGGUGGUAUUUCAAGGUCGGCUCCAUGCAGACUGGCGUCCACACUUCAAAGCCUCCCACCUAUCCUACACAUCAAGGCUCAAUGUUCAGUGUCAAGCUAUAGUAAAGGUUCACGGGGUCUUUCCGUCUUGCCGCGGGUACACUGCAUCUUCACAGCGAGUUCAAUUUCACUGAGUCUCGGGUGGAGACAGCCUGGCCAUCAUUACGCCAUUCGUGCAGGUCGGAACUUACCCGACAAGGAAUUUCGCUACCUUAGGACCGUUAUAGUUACGGCCGCCGUUUACCGGGGCUUCGAUCAGGAGCUUCGCUUGCGCUGACCCCAUCAAUUAACCUUCCGGCACCGGGCAGGCGUCACACCGUAUACGUCCACUUUCGUGUUUGCACAGUGCUGUGUUUUUAAUAAACAGUUGCAGCCAGCUGGUAUCUUCGACUGACUUCAGCUCCAUGAGUAAAUCACUUCACCUACGUGUCAGCGUGCCUUCUCCCGAAGUUACGGCACCAUUUUGCCUAGUUCCUUCACCCGAGUUCUCUCAAGCGCCUUGGUAUUCUCUACCUGACCACCUGUGUCGGUUUGGGGUACGAUUUGAUGUUACCUGAUGCUUAGAGGCUUUUCCUGGAAGCAGGGCAUUUGUUGCUUCAGCACCGUAGUGCCUCGUCGUCACGCCUCAGUGUUAAAGUGAACCGGAUUUACCUGGAACACACACCUACACGCUUAAACCGGGACAACCGUCGCCCGGCCAACAUAGCCUUCUCCGUCCCCCCUUCGCAGUAACACCAAGUACGGGAAUAUUAACCCGUUUCCCAUCGACUACGCCUUUCGGCCUCGCCUUAGGGGUCGACUCACCCUGCCCCGAUUAACGUUGGACAGGAACCCUUGGUCUUCCGGCGAGCGGGCUUUUCACCCGCUUUAUCGUUACUUAUGUCAGCAUUCGCACUUCUGAUACCUCCAGCAACCCUCACAGGCCACCUUCACAGGCUUACAGAACGCUCCCCUACCCAACAACACCUGAGUGUCGCUGCCGCAGCUUCGGUGCAUGGUUUAGCCCCGUUACAUCUUCCGCGCAGGCCGACUCGACCAGUGAGCUAUUACGCUUUCUUUAAAUGAUGGCUGCUUCUAAGCCAACAUCCUGGCUGUCUGGGCCUUCCCACAUCGUUUCCCACUUAACCAUGACUUUGGGACCUUAGCUGGCGGUCUGGGUUGUUUCCCUCUUCACGACGGACGUUAGCACCCGCCGUGUGUCUCCCGUGAUAACAUUCUCCGGUAUUCGCAGUUUGCAUCGGGUUGGUAAGCCGGGAUGGCCCCCUAGCCGAAACAGUGCUCUACCCCCGGAGAUGAAUUCACGAGGCGCUACCUAAAUAGCUUUCGGGGAGAACCAGCUAUCUCCCGGUUUGAUUGGCCUUUCACCCCCAGCCACAGGUCAUCCGCUAAUUUUUCAACAUUAGUCGGUUCGGUCCUCCAGUUAGUGUUACCCAACCUUCAACCUGCCCAUGGCUAGAUCACCGGGUUUCGGGUCUAUACCCUGCAACUUAACGCCCGGUUAAGACUCGGUUUCCCUCCGGCUCCCCUAUACGGUUAACCUUGCUACAGAAUAUAAGUCGCUGACCCAUUAUACAAAAGGUACGCAGUCACACAGGUAAACCUGUGCUCCCACUGCUUGUACGUACACGGUUUCAGGUUCUUUUUCACUCCCCUCGCCGGGGUUCUUUUCGCCUUUCCCUCACGGUACUGGUUCACUAUCGGUCAGUCAGGAGNNNNNNNNNNNNNNNNNNNNCCCCCAUAUUCAGACAGGAUACCACGUGUCCCGCCCUACUCAUCGAGCUCACAGCACAUGCGCUUUUGUGUACGGGGCUGUCACCCUGUAUCGCGCGCCUUUCCAGACNNNNNNNNNNNNNNNNNNNNUUCGCUCGCCGCUACUGGGGGAAUCUCGGUUGAUUUCUUUUCCUCGGGGUACUUAGAUGUUUCAGUUCCCCCGGUUCGCCUCAUUAACCUAUGGAUUCAGUUAAUGAUAGUGUGACGAAUCACACUGGGUUUCCCCAUUCGGAAAUCGCCGGUUAUAACGGUUCAUAUCACCUUACCGGCGCUUAUCGCAGAUUAGCACGUCCUUCAUCGCCUCUGACUGCCAGGGCAUCCACCGUGUACGCUUAGUCGCUUAACCUCACAACCCGAAGAUGUUUCUUACGAUUCAUCAUCGUGUUGCGAAAAUUUGAGAGACUCACGAACAACUUUCGUUGUUCUGUGUUUCAAUUUUCAGCUUGAUCCAGAUUUUUAAAGAGCAAA